AACGAACGCUGGCGGCAGGCUUAACACAUGCAAGUCGAGCGCCCCGCAAGGGGAGCGGCAGACGGGUGAGUAACGCGUGGGAACGUACCCUUUGCUACGGAAUAGCUCCGGGAAACUGGAAUUAAUACCGUAUGUGCCCUACGGGGGAAAGAUUUGUCGGCAAAGGAUCGGCACGCGUGGGAUUAGCUAGUUGGUGGGGUAAUGGCCUAACAAGGCGACGAUCCAUAGCUGGGCUGAGAGGAUGAUCAGCCACAUUGGGACUGAGAAACGGCCCAAACUCCUACGGGAGGCAGCAGUGGGGAAUAUUGGACAAUGGGCGCAAGCCUGAUCCAGCCAUGCCGCGUGAGUGAUGAAGGCCUUAGGGUUGUAAAGCUCUUUCACCGGAGAAGAUAAUGACGGUAUCCGGAGAAGAAGUCCCGGCUAACUUCGUGCCAGCAGCCGCGGUAACAC
rnacentral:rRNA from 1 species